AAGACCUUGCGCUUUUGGAGCGGCCGAUGCCUGAUUAGCUUGUUGGUAAGGUAAAAGCUUACCAAGGCUUCGAUCAGUAGCUGGUCUGAGAGGACGACCAGCCACACUGGGACUGAGACACGGCCCAGACUCCUACGGGAGGCAGCAGUGGGGAAUUUUGGACAAUGGGGGCAACCCUGAUCCAGCCAUGCCGCGUGAGUGAAGAAGGCCUUCGGGUUGUAAAGCUCUUUCAGCCGGAACGAAACGGUUACGGUUAAUACCCAUGACUACUGGCGGUACCGGAAGAAGAAGCACCGGCUAACUACGUGCCAGCAGCCGCGGUAAUACGUAGGGUGCGAGCGUUAAUCGGAAUUACUGGGCGUAAAGCGUGCGCAGGUGGUUUUGUAAGUCAGAUGUGAAAGCCCCGGGCUCAACCUGGGAACU
rnacentral:rRNA from 1 species